AUUAGCUCAGUUGGUAGAGCACCUGACUCUUAAUCAGGGUGCCCAGGGUUCGAGUCCCUGA
rnacentral:tRNA from 1 species